AUGGCGACGACGGCCACGGGGUACGGCUGCUCGGCGGCGCUGUCGUUCCCGGGGAGGGGGAGCUCCUUCGCCGGUCGCUCACCCCCGUCCCGCGCUUGCCUCACCUCCUCCAAUCCCAAGCUCAGGACUCCCGCUCCUAGCCUGAGGGUUUCAUAUCUUCGUAGGGGACUCUAUGUCUGUGCGUGCUCCGGCGACGUUGAUCCGGAUGCCUCGGAGGAAGCUAGUUUUGAUAUAAAGCUUCCUAGAAGAAGCUUGCUUGUUCAGUUUACAUGUAAUAAAUGUGAUGCAAGGACAAAACGUUUGAUAAACAGGGUGGGCUAUGAAAGAGGAACAGUUUUUCUUCAGUGUGCAGGGUGCCAGGUGUAUCACAAGUUUGUUGACAAUCUUGGUCUAAUUGUCGAGUAUGACCUACGAGAAGAAAAUGGUGUGAACACUUGUACUGAAGACUGA
rnacentral:rRNA from 1 species